GGCGCUGUGCAUGCUGGGAAAAGUAGUUCCCAUCUUGUUGCUCAGUUCUGCAUAUUAACGCAAAUCUUCUUCAGAUGAAGCCAGUGGAGAUGUGCAGAAAGAAAGGGAGUUCUUAGCUGUGGUUGGAAGUGAAAAAAUAAGAUCAACAAAUAUGAACUGCGAGGUUAGGGCAGAAGUAAAACAUGACGGCUCUGACCCCUUUGUUAACAUUACAUUCACUGACGGAGAGAGGUUACUGAUG